GGUUGCUUCCUCAACCGUGCGUUUGUUACUGUCAGAAACAGUGAGGCCAACUGUCUCUUGAAGAUCAACUGGCGAGAACUUUGGCUAGAAUUGGAUCAAGUGAACCCAGAAGGCCCAUCUCAAGAAUGUUCCUUUAUGGACAAAGGCAGUUUAUGUGAUCCAAGAGACAUAGUGAAACCAAAUGUUUCUGAAGACAUCCCCUUUGUUCUUAAAGUACUCAGUGAAACUGCUGCUCUGUUUGAAAUGAAAAAUGUCCC